UCUGCCAUAUUUAUUUCUGAUGAAAAGAAAAUAUCUAACAACAAAUUUGUUAAUCUCCUUUGGUGCCUAACUCUAAUUCAGGCACCUAGAAGACUGCUGAAAUAAAUCAAUGAAAUAGGAAUUAGGCUCUGAAACAGCCUUAUGGAUGUGAAUCUUGGUACAGAAACCAAAUUUACUGAAGUUAUGGUGUGCAUCGGGGUGGCUUAAAUUGUUGAAGCGCUGGCAAGAAUAGACAAGGAACUGCUUGCAGUGGGUUGCAGUAUGCUACUUGAUAAACAGAGAUAAGGCUUGAGAAGUUUCAGGUGAUCUGUAAGUAGGGUGUUUGUAUUGUGGAAAGGGGCUUUAUGUUUCUCCUUCAAUUAUUGUCAGCAGCCUAUUCACAGCACUCAAACUCAGUUGUCACACCUACAUGUAGCCUCACCACAUAGAAGUCUUUGGUGUGAGGCUGACCCAAGUCCUUUAUUUUGGUGGUUUAAAAGUGUCAAAUCACUGCUGAAAGCACUUUGCUGCUACAAAACUCUGGACUGAGAAUGCAGCUUGCCUGGAAAGCAACUUCUGUUCUGUGUGGACAGUGUGUCAGGAUAGGAUGGGAUUGGCUGAGCCCCCAGGGUGCAGGAUGGCCUUCCCAGGAGAUGACCUUGGAUUUAGGGUCAUCCUUCUUUUCAUUUACAAUUUUACAACUUUUGAAUUUUCAUUUUACAUAGGAACCAAAUGUCAGAAUGGUAAAGCCUGUGUGAAAUGAGACUCUCGUCUUCUUCUGGGGACCUCAUCUCUUUUUACGGACAGUAUUCGUACCAGAAUGACAAGAAGGAGUCUAUCUUCAGAAAGGUCCUAGACUUUCUCUGGGGCUUGACCGUGACUCAGCUCUACUGGUAAAACAGAGACACAUGACAAGGCCACAACAGGAUUGUGAUUCACUUACAACAGCAGACAAUUGAGAUGCGGACAAACAGUAUCACUUAUGCCACUGAUCACACAGAAAUACAGAGUGGAAGAGGGAGUGUGGCACGCAGUUCAACACUGAUCAAGCUACGUCAUUUGUCUUGCCAGAGAUCUGGCUUUGAUCUAGACAUUUUUGUAUUCAGAUUGGAUGUCCACAAAAGAAAGUUUUGCUUGCUCAAACUGCAGGAUGCACACUGAGAAAGUGCUGGACAAGAGGAAGCACUU
rnacentral:lncRNA from 1 species